UAAUAUUUAGUUUCGGUACAUCAUUGGUUAUAUCUAUUUUACACAUGCAACACAAUGACACCCGCAACCCCAUCUUUAAAUUUAAUAAAUUCUAAAGCUAAUUCUCAAGACCAGCCUAAUGCGACAGCAGUGAUUAGACCUAAUUAACUAGUGAAAGCUAGAAUUGAAUAAAAGACUUUAGUACUAAUAAACAAGGUGCCAGAAAUCUCGGUUAGACCCUGACGUACAAACCAAUAUAAACGGGAUACAGGUUAAUAAAAUAGAAAAAAGUUAUACACACUACAGAGCCGAGCGUAUAAUGCUGGAAGCCUAUAAUACCAAUAUUUUCUAACAUACACUCCUGAUAAAUCAUAGACCUAAACAGGGAUUUGAUACCCCAUUAUUCUAUACUGACGACUAAUAUAUAUCCCCGGGUAGUACCUAUUAAUAAUAGAAACCCAAAAAACAUGGCGGCCUUUCAACAUAUCAGGGGAAUCUGCCCUAUAACAAGAUACUACACUAUCACAUUUACUUACUCUCGCCAUAAAUAUACACUUACCCUCAGGUGGCGUGUGGCCGCCGCAGUUGCAUUCGAAAGAGUGUAGCACAUAAAUUCCAGGUGACAAUAACAACUAUACUGUUAAAGAAGAUUUCCUCAUAACACCUCCUAAGACAGGUCAUUACAUCCCUUAUGAGUAAGCAGAGGUGGAUUACAUUUCCCAAAAGGAUAAUUAUGAAAAACUAUAAUAAUAGUUUCAAUACAGGACUUGACAGUAAUAAAAACCUAAAAUACUUUUAUGAAGAAGCAAUCUGAUUGGUGCACAAAUCGCCCGGCCCUCUACCCAUUAGGGGAGAUAAGCCGUAACAAAGUAGGUGUAACGGAAGUUGCAUCUCAACCCUA
rnacentral:rRNA from 1 species